AAUUGGCUGACGCCAUUGUCCCCUCCAAGGGGUUGCUUUGAACCUGCUCCGGAGGGAGCUGCAUUAACAGCUGCAUGGCAGAUGCUGUUUGCAUGCCGG
rnacentral:SRP_RNA from 8 species